UGGGGAAUAUUGCACAAUGGGCGCAAGCCUGAUGCAGCCAUGCCGCGUGUAUGAAGAAGGCCUUCGGGUUGUAAAGUACUUUCAGCGAGGAGGAAGGCGUUGUGGUUAAUAACCGCAGCGAUUGACGUUACUCGCAGAAGAAGCACCGGCUAACUCCGUGCCAGCAGCCGCGGUAAUACGGAGGGUGCAAGCGUUAAUCGGAAUUACUGGGCGUAAAGCGCACGCAGGCGGUCUGUCAAGUCGGAUGUGAAAUCCCCGGGCUCAACCUGGGAACUGCAUCCGAAACUGGCAGGCUAGAGUCUUGUAGAGGGGGGUAGAAUUCCAGGUGUAGCGGUGAAAUGCGUAGAGAUCUGGAGGAAUACCGGUGGCGAAGGCGGCCCCCUGGACAAAGACUGACGCUCAGGUGCGGAAGCGUGGGGAGCAAACA
rnacentral:rRNA from 1 species